UUUCCGUAGGUGAACCUGCGGAAGGAUCAUUACCGAGUUCAUGCCCUACCGGGUAGAUCUCCCACCCUAUGUUAUUAUUACUUUGUUGCUUUGGCGGGCCGUUAGGCUCCGGCCCGACUACCGGCCCCGGCUGGUAAGCGCCCGCCAGAGGACCCAAAACCCUGAAUAUUAGUGUCGUCUGAGUACUAUAUAAUAGUUAAAACUUUCAACAACGGAUCUCUUGGUUCUG
rnacentral:misc_RNA from 1 species